UUAUGACAUCCUGUUCUUCUUUCAGGUAUGCAGUGUUUUCUCCUAGGUCUCUGAGGAUUUUAAUUAUAAAUUUUAAAAUGUUUUCUUCUAUUCCCCAUAUUAUCUGUUUUGUUUGGUUCCUUUUCUACCAUUGUUUUAGUCUCUGUGUUUCCUUUUGGAGGCUCCCACAAUCUGGUAAUCCGUUGCUGGAAAGAAUGAGACAGGUACUUGUUCCCCCAGUGAUGAGAAAGUAAGAUGACACAGAAGUACCGUCUCACCAUAAACAAUUAGAAAACUGAAAGAAAAAAGAGAAGAAACUCUUUUUGGAUAUAGGCCAGUGGGAAGCAUAGGGCUGUGAUCAUGGAGAAAAGGGGAGCAAGUGAGGUGAGCUUUCCAUUACGUAGGCCUCUGCCUGGAGAUAAUGCCUAUACUGAGGUUCACAGAGGGUAAUGUGGUUUGGAUACUUGUGCCCUCCAAAUCCCAUGUUUAAAUGUGAUCCCCAGUGUUGGAGGUGGGGCCUAGCAGGAGUUGUUUGGGUCAUUGGUGGAGGAUCCUUCAUGAAUGACUUGGUACCAUCCCUUUGGUGAUGAGUGAGUUCUCAGUCUAUUAGUUCACAUUGAGAGCUAGUGGGUUAAAGGAACCUGGAAACUUCUCCCCUCAUUCUUGCUCUCUCUCUCACCAUGUGGCACAUUUGCCCCCACUUUGUCUUCUGCCAAGAAUAAAAGCUUCCUGAGGACUCACCAGAAGCUGAGUAGAUGUUGGCGCCAUGCUUCUUACACAGUCUGCAGAACUAGCCUAACUGACCUUGGAGAAGGGAAAGACUCCAUUCUGGCCCACUGUAGCCAUCCUGUUCCGUCUAAUUGGGGAGAGGAACUGAGAAAAACUAAAUUACAUCUUUCUAACAGGUGGCUGCUGCGUCUCCAGGCUUCCUGUCCCUGUGCCAUCAGAAAAGAAGGUGUGAGGGAGGAGUGCAGGAGGGCAAGAGAAAAAUGUCUUCCCAGAAACUCAGCGUAUGUCUCAGUGGUCAGGUUUCUUCCUCGUGUACCAAGAGUCUUUAGAAGUCAAUCCACCGUGGUCUGAUCUUCACUCCACGGGAUCCACUUCCUGAUCCAAUUUAACUUUAAUCUUUACAUGCUUUAUAUUUUUAAUGAAGAAAGUGAGGAUUUUUUUUUUUUUUUUUUUUUUUGAGACAGAGUCUCACUCUGUCGCCCAGGCUGGAGUGCCGUGGUGUGAUCUCUACUCACUGCAACCUCCACCGUAAGCGAUUCUUGUGCCUUGGCCUCUCGAGUAGCUGAGACUACAGGCAUGUGCCAUCAUGCCCAGCUAAUUUUUGCAUUUUUAGUAGAGAGAUGGGGUUUUGCCAUGUUGGCCAGGCUGGUCUUGAACUCCUGACCUCAAGCGACCUUCCCGCCUUGGCCUCCCAAAGUGCUGGGAUUAUAGGCAUGAGCCACCGCACCCAGACUGAAAGUGAGGAAUUUAGAAUAAGCUCUGACUCCUGUAGGACCAUAGUACCUUAAAUCCUAAAGAUGAAAACUCAAAGAGUAGAAAUAAUAAUAAUAAAUUAUACUGAUUCUUGUGAUUUGGGUUUUUGUAUAUCAGUUUUUUGGGCAGUUAACCCAUCAUCUUCAAGAAAACUGAUAGCAAAUGUCCAUAUAAUGUUGAAGGUCUAAACCCUGAAACAAACAAAAAACAAACAGCAAUGACAAUGAACCUGGCAUCAAGAAAGAUGCUGGGCUCAGUGAGAUGGCUCAUGUCUGUAAUCCCAGCACUUUGGGAGACCAAGACAGGAGGAUUGCUUGAGCCCAGGAGUUUGAGAUCAGCCUGUGCUACAUGGCAAAAUCCCAAAUCUAAAAAAAAAAAAAAAAAAAAAUUAGCCUGUUGUGGUAGCAUGCACCUGUAGUCCCAGCUACUGGGGAGGCUGAGGUGGGAGGAUCGUAUGAGCCCAGGGAGGUCAAGGCUGCAGUGAGCCAUGAUUGCACCACAGCACUCUAACCUGGGAGACAGAGCUAGACCCUAUCAAGAAAGAAGAGAAGAGGAAGAGGAAGAGAAGAGGAAAGGAGAGGAGAGGAGAGAAGAGAAGAGGAGAGAAGAGAAGAAAAGAGAAGAGAAGAGAAGAGAAAGAAAAAAAGGAAGGAAGGGAGAAAGGGAGGGAGGGAGGAAGGAAGGAAGGAAGGAAAAAGAAAGAAGGAAAGGAAGGAAGGAAGGAAAAAGGAAGAAGGAAAGGAGGAAGGGAAGGAAAGAAAGAAAAGGAAGAGGAGGAGAAGGGGAAGAAGGAGAAAAGCCACAACUCUGAAGGCCUCCUAACAUUAUAACUGAAGGGACCCUUUGUGAACCAGAGAAAUAGGCAAAGACAAAACAGAAUUUCCAGAAAGGAAAGAAAACAAAGAAGAGAAAAAUAUAGUUAAGAAAAAUAGCUUCUGAUUUUAUGCUACAUGCUAAACAAAUGUUCCUAACAUCAUUAACAUCAUCUUUGGAAAACGAUCUGACUUUGAGCCAGCCACAGAGUGCCACUGUUGGUUAGUAAGAACGUCGUCCAUUAGCUCAGAUGGGAGGAUGAGGUACUAAAGCUUUGAUAGCUGCAGAUGGAGUUUAUAUAUUACCAUAUCACCAACAUACCAACAAUGCUGUCAAGCAAACAAGGGUGAUUAGACUGGAAAACAUCAACAAAUGGCUUAAAUACAUUAUCUCAUCUUCCACAUGUUUCUACCAAAGAAGGAAGACAAUUGCUAUAGAACCAAUAAUAACAACCAAUAUGGGAUGUCACAAGUCUGUCUUUCAAAACUUGGAAAAGUUUUGUUGCUUCAUAUAGAAGCAUGCUCUAGCUUCUUUAGCAAAAGCUACACUCUAUUUCAUCUAAUUCCUCCAGAAUUUGUGUGCACGGCAAAGCAACUUGGGUACUGUGGUUCAGGAAGACGCCAUCACAUUUUGUUUAUGAAUUCUCAAGCCUCACAAUGUUAGGAAUGACAGUCGGAGAGGUAAUUUCCACGAGUUAGACGUUCCAGUGCGCAAACCAUUUCAGUGGAUGCGAGUGCAGUGUUUAUCUGCCUUUUCUCAUAAAGUCAUAUAAAUGUAAAUUUCAUGGUUUCCUGUAUUUCCCUCCAUCAAGUCAAGUAGUGCAUAUUAACUACUUGAUGAGUUCCUCCCUUCACCAGAGGAAAAAACAAAACCCUUGCUCAUUUCGCUAGUGGAUCCUGGAUCACAGAGAGGAUAUUUUUCUAUUCAGGCCUAUAGUCUGGGGCUGCCCAGAGCAGCUCUGAUCACAUGUAGGGCUUCAUAAAAACAAAUGCAGCCACUCUCAGGUCUGUUUGAGCCAGCAGUCUGAAGAGACUUCAGGCCUCCCAGAGCACCUCUGUUAAUUAAGAGGAUGGGUUUCAGCACCUCACUUGGUUACCCAAGGGAGAAGGAAUGUUGGAGGAGAAAUCCCUUCUAGGACAGGAAUCUCCUCCUGGACACACGAUGGUAGUGUACACACACACACCCUCAGGAGACGAGACACUUGGGCCCUCCUGACUCUUUCAGGUGGUGCAGGGUUCUAGCCUCCUGGAGGGCCCCACCUUUCCCACAGCCCCAUGCCCCCUCUUCUGAGGGAGUAGGAGAAAGAGAACAAUUUCCUCUCCGUCCCUUUCUCUGUCUCUCUCUCUCUCCUCUUCCUCUUUUUUUUUCUCUCUCUCUCUACACACACACACACACACACACACACACACACACACACCAGGUUGUGAAUUAAGACACUGAUGGCCUCCUCCAGGCUAUACACAUUUUGAGGCUCUGUAAAAACUGGCUAAGAGGAGACCCAAUAGAAAUGAAUCCAGAGAUGUGCCAGUGGGAAAUCAAUUGACCUGCAAGUAGUAAGUUACAAUUUACUUACAUGUUCACACUGCUGAGCAUGGAAAGUGAAGUAUCUGGGAUAAUGAAUGCCCCCUAUCCUGUCCAUAUAAUUCUGUACCAACACUGGUAUCAUUUUGGCAACACUCAGUGCUUUUUUGUUCAUGAUGGUUUUCAUCCCCAGUAAUAUGCACAGCUCUUAUUUUAUCUUAGAGCUUCAAAAGAAAACAUAUUGAGACAAGCUUCUUCAUGGCUGGUCAUCUAACAUGCUCUCCUUUAUUUCUAAGGGAACAAAGUACAUAUUUUCUCCAAUGCAACUGAAAUUUCAACUCCUGCUAUUUUCUUUUAGGGCUUUGGGGAGUCAGUGUUAGUCAAAUACUAAUGACAGUCAAAAGAGCUAGAAUUUAUUAUAUAAUUUUCCAUUUACAGAAAUCCAAAUGAUAUUUAAAAUAAGAAUAAUUUCAGAACUAGUACAUCGCUUUGUUGAAAUAAUCUGUUCAAAACCUCAUAGUUCAAAUCAUAUACAAAUGCAAAUUUACCGGCAUAUAUGAGUAUCUAACAUGAAAUUUUUUAAAUGUUGAAAUCUUCAGAUUCCAGAGAGAUAAAAUAUUUUGUAAAAUGCUCAACCUCUUGGAAUUGUCUUCAGUCAGGUCUGUGGUUCACAUAUAUAAACUUACUCAGUUGGGAUGGCAUAGAUAUUAUUGUCUUGUUUGGCCCAGACAAUAUGAACGCAAUGUACUUUGAGGGUCUUUAGGGCUUGUCCCCAGAAUAUUGCUUUUAAGACCUUAUUUCAGUUGGCUAACGACUAAAAAAUAGAAUUUGUGGAACAGCUUCUUGUCAAAAUCACAUCAAUUGCUCCUUAAUUUUUGUCUUACAGACCAGUG